AAUUAUACCUUGCAGUGGAAAUACCAUGUCCUAAAGAUGGUUUUCCCAGGGGGUGGCUCAUCCACUGCACUUUAGGUAUGCUGCUGAUCCCUGUGAUUUACCUAAAUGUGGGGAAAUCAACUGCAUAAUUUAUGUUGAUGAAAUAAUUGCAUUUAUGAUUUCC
rnacentral:snRNA from 1 species